rnacentral:pre_miRNA from 1 species
UGAUGCUGAUGACGCUGAUGCUGAUGCUGAUGAUAAUGAUGAUGAUGAUCAGAUAUCAUUAUCACCAUCAUCAUCAUCAUCACCAUCACCAUCGUGU